rnacentral:rRNA from 1 species
UCAAUCAAUAAAGGGCAUAUGGUGGAGACCUAGGGACCUAGAGCCGAUGAAGGGCGUGACAACCGACGAUAUGCCUCGGGGAGCAGGACGUAUGCACUGAUCCGAGGAUUCCCGAAUGGGGCAACCCAAUGCAUUCCUUCUUGAAUUCAUAGAGAAGAGAAAGACAACUUAGUGAACUGAAACAUCUUAGUAGCUAAAGGAAAAGAAAGCAAAAGCGAUUCCCAAAGUAGCGGCGAGCGGAAUGGGAACAGCCUAAAAGGACUUUAACAGUAAUGUAAAGACCAGGUCAUGGGACCAAACAUAUGGCAUUGUAUGGAAUGAGAAACGAAACAGCUGAAACCUGUACCAUAGAUGGUGAAAGUCCAGUCGUUGAAUCACUACCAACUCCAGCCGUUUGGCUCCCGAGUAGUAUGGGACACGUGAAAUCCCGUAUGAAUUUGCGAGGACCACCUCGUAAGGCUAAAUACUCCUAGGUCACCGAUAGCGAAUAGUACCGCGAGGGAAAGGUGAAAAGAACCCCUUUACGGGGAGUGAAAUAGAACAUGAAACCGUAUGCUUACAAUUUGUGGGAGGAUGAACACAUCUGACCGCAUGCCUGUUGAAGAAUGAGCUGGCGACUUAGAAGAAGUGGCAGGUUAAGAUUUUCCAUCGAAGCCAAAGCGAAAGCAUGUCUGAUAAGGGCUCUCGUCCCUUCUUCUAGACCCGAACCCAGGUGAUCUAACCAUGACCAGAAUGAAGCUUUGGUGAUACGAAGUGGAGGUUCGAACCGACCGAUGUUGAAAAAUCGACGGAUGAGUUGUGGUUAGGGGUGAAAUGCCAAUCGAACUCGGAGCUAGCUGGUUCUCCCCGAAAUGCGUUUUGGCGCAGCGGUAAAUGUUAUAGUUUAGGGGUAAAGCACUGUUACGUAUGCGGGCUGGUAAUUCGGUACCAAAUCGUGGCAAACUAAGAAUACUAAGUGUACAGUCUACCAGUAAGACUGUGGGGGAUAAGCUCCAUUGUCAAGAGGGAAACAGCCCAGAUUACUAGUUAAGGCCCCUAAAUAAUUGCUAAGUGGUAAAGGAGGUGGGAUUGCAUAGACAAUCAGGAGGUUUGCCCAGAAGCAGCAAUCCUUUAAAGAGUGCGUAAUAGCUCACUGGUCGAGUAAUCUUGUGCCGAAAAUGAAUGGGGCUAAGUAAUUUGCCGAAGCUGUGAGAUAUUUUAUAUAUCGGUAGGGGAGCGUUCUAUGUUAGGUUGAAGCGUUAACGGAAGUGGGCGUGGACGAAAUAGAAGUGAGAAUGUCGGCUUGAGUAGCGAAAACAUUGGUGAGAAUCCAAUGCUCCGAAACCCUAAGGUUUCCUCCGCAAGGUUCGUCCACGGAGGGUUAGUCAGGUCCUAAGGUGAGGCUGAAAAGCGUAAUCGAUGGACAACAGGUUAAUAUUCCUGUACCGCUAUAUACUGCGAUGGGGGGACGGAGAAGGCUAGGUGAUCAGGGCGAUGGUUGUCCCUGUACAAGCUUGUAGGGAGAUCUCUUAGGUAAAUCCGGGAGAUCAUUAUCCUGAGGAGUGAUGUCGAGCUCAAUUGCGAGCGAAGUCAUUGAUGCCAUGCUUCCAAGAAAAGCCUCUAAGCUUCAGGUAUAUAGAGACCGUACUCCAAACCGACACAGGUGAUCAGGUAGAGAAUACCAAGGCGCUUGAGAGAACUAUGGUGAAGGAACUAGGCAAAAUGGUGCCGUAACUUCGGGAGAAGGCACGCCAUUGAUGGUGAUCGGACUUGCUCCGUAAGCUGUUGGUGGCCGCAGAGACCAGGCCCCUGCGACUGUUUAUCUAAAACACAGCACUCUGCAAACUCGUAAGAGGAAGUAUAGGGUGUGACGCCUGCCCGGUGCCGGAAGGUUAAUUGAUGGGGUUAGCUUCGGCGAAGCUCUUGAUCGAAGCCCCGGUAAACGGCGGCCGUAACUAUAACGGUCCUAAGGUAGCGAAAUUCCUUGUCGGGUAAGUUCCGACCUGCACGAAUGGUGCAACGAUCUGGACACUGUCUCAGCCAUGAGCUCGGUGAAAUUGUAGUAUCGGUGAAGAUGCCGAUUACCCGCAGCGGGACGAAAAGACCCCGUGAACCUUUACUAUAGCUUAGUAUUGGUUUUGGAUAAGUAAUGUGUAGGAUAGGUGGGAGACAUUGAAGUGGCGUCGCUAGGCGUUGUGGAGUCGUCCUUGAAAUACCACCCUUUGCUUAUCUAGAGUCUAACUCAGAGAUGAGGACAGUGCUUGGUGGGUAGUUUGACUGGGGUGGUCGCCUCCAAAAGAGUAACGGAGGCUUCUAAAGGUACCCUCAGCACGCUUGGUAACCGUGCGUAGAGUGCAAUGGCAUAAGGGUGCUUGACUGAGAGACAUACAGGUCGAUCAGGUUGGAAACAAGAGCAUAGUGAUCCGGUGGUUCCGCAUGGAAGGGCCAUCGCUCAACGGAUAAAAGGUACUCCGGGGAUAACAGGCUGAUCUCCCCCAAGAGUUCACAUCGACGGGGAGGUUUGGCACCUCGAUGUCGGCUCGUCACAUCCUGGGGCUGGAGAAGGUCCCAAGGGUUGGGCUGUUCGCCCAUUAAAGUGGCACGCGAGCUGGGUUCAGAACGUCGUGAGACAGUUCGGUCUCUAUCUGUUGUGGGCGUUGAAGUUUGAGAGGGUCUAUCUCUAGUACGAGAGGACCGAGAUGGACAGACCUCUGGUGUAUCUGUUGUGGCGCCAGCUGCAUUGCAGAGUAGCUACGUCUGGAAGGGAUAAGCGCUGAAAGCAUCUAAGCACGAAACCCUCCUCAAGAUGAGACUUCAUUAAGAGACGUUAUAGACUAUGACGUUGAUAGGCUGCAGGUGUAAAGACAGUAAUGUCAAAGCCGAGCAGUACUAAUUUCUCAAAAGCUUUUCAAAC